rnacentral:lncRNA from 1 species
AAGGAUUAGUUUUGUGAUGGUUGCAUUUAUUUCUCUUCGACGACGAAAAACAGAGCUCGACGUACAUUUCUACUUCCUCUCCACGAAUUCAAAAUCGUCAAGAAUCGGUAUCGGAAUCGGAUUCCCGAUACUCCGUUCCUUUUCCGGUAAACUCCCAAAACCGCCGUCUAUUUCCGAAAACAGCUUCAUCCGAGCUACCAGCGUAAGUUACAUUUAUGUUUACUUCUCGAUCAUUCAGCUAUUCCAUCUCUGUGGAACACAAUCGUUGGGUUUCAUUUUGCUUGAGAUUGCUUGCUGAUUGUUUGUUAAUGCGUAAAUAUCAUUUUUAGGGUUUUAGUAGCUCAGCUGACUUCAUAAUCAACUGACACGAUUAGCUAAAUUUUUAUGCAGGAAGAAGUUGGGAGGACCUUUUUCUCCAUCGAUGGCUCGCUUAUCACCAUCGUUGUGCAUCAACGAUGUUCUGUCACUUCAUUUACUGGUGGACGUUCUUGCUAGGCUCCCGUUAAGAUAUGUGUUUCGAUGUAAGUCCGUUUGCAAGCUGUGGCUCUCGUAUGUACAGGACAACAAUUCGGGUUUCGUCAGCCGAUUUAUUCAACUGAAUGAGGGGAGAAUAAUGAUCUCCAUCAGAAAGAGAUGAUCCAUGUGGUGACGAAUCGAUGUGAAAUGCUUCUGGUACAGCCUUCCUGCAGCAUUCCUGUUACUGCUUCCCAGCUCUCACUGGACUUCCUCCCAUUCUUCAAUAGGUUGGUGUCUCCUGUACAAUAUAUUUCUUAUCUAAAUUGCAAACGAUAUCUUUCUGGAUAUACAAAAUAAAUACAUUCUUCAAUAGGUUCACUUAAUACUGUAACUACAAUCCAAAUUUAUUCAUAUUAUCCAUCAGACCAAACCAAUUGUACAAUACAAUCACACACCCCAAAAAAAUCAAUCUAAUUACAGAACAAAUUUCCAACUACAGUAUAUAGCUAGCCAUAAUUAAUUACAGCAAUGAGGAGAUAGAGAAGCAUGGGUUGAACAGAAGCUCUGCCGAAGAUGGUGGUGGCAUCAGAAGUACUUCCAUCGUAAUCAUCAGUGAACGGGACAUCCGACCCUGUGGGAGUAAUGUCAGCAGGAUCAGCCGGCGGCGUCUUAUUGGUGGACCCUGCCGGCCCUUGCGAACUCUCUGACGGCGAACUUCCUGGCCCUUCCGCAUCAUCUGGAGCAUUCGUUUUUUUGUCAUUUCAGUACAAAACAGAAUCAAACAUGACAGAAUUUUCGAAUUAUAAGAAGCUAAAAAUUCGGUACCUUUAGGACACUGGCUAAGGGGUGGAGUCCUGGACUUGCAAGCGCCAGGGAGGUUAAGAGCCAUGGUUCGGUUGAUGGUGAUGAAAGAAGGCCCACCGCCACUGACCAAAGUGCAGAGGCACUGUGGAGUUGCCUGGACCAUGUUGCUGAGCUGGGAGCAGCAUGCUGCUGAAGGACGACGUGGCGAUGAUGAUGAAGAGUUUGCAGUAAUGAAGGCAAGGCAAGGUGAUAGUGAUGCUAUGGCGUUUGUGCAAGUGUUUGAAGCACCGCUACCUGAAGAAGAAGGUUGUUGCGCCAUGGAUCCAGUCGCAGCCAGGGCGAGGAUUACUAGGCCGAACGUGCCAAGUGGAGAAGCCAUGAUUGACUGAUCGAUGACUGGAAGGAACGAAGUCCGAUUGUUACGCGCUUGGAUUCAAGAGGGUUUUUGGAGAAGGGUUGAGUGAAGGAGAGCAAUUGAUUUCAUUAAUGUAUAUAUAAGGGGAAGUAGGUGGCGAGGUGUGCAAUGUUUUGGUGUAUUGGGAAUUGGAGGAUCACCUACUUUUUGAACUAGAAAUUUGGUAGGGAGGAAGGUUGCUUAACUGAAAGUGUCUUUGUGUAUGUCAUUGUUCAAAACAUUCUGAUUCAUUCUAUGUUCAUUCAUUGACC